rnacentral:rRNA from 1 species
GGGUUGUGAGGUUAAGCGACUAAGCGUACACGGUGGAUGCCCUGGCAGUCAGAGGCGAUGAAGGGCGUGCUAAUCUGCGAUAAGCGCCGGUAAGGUGAUAUGAACCGUUAUAACCGGCGAUACCCGAAUGGGGAAACCCAGUGUGACUCGUCACACUAUCAUUAACUGAAUCCAUAGGUUAAUGAGGCGAACCGGGGGAACUGAAACAUCUAAGUACCCCGAGGAAAAGAAAUCAACCGAGAUUCCCCCAGUAGCGGCGAGCGAACGGGGAGGAGCCCAGAGCCUGAAUCAGCAUGUGUGUUAGUGGAAGCGUCUGGAAAGGCGCGCGAUACAGGGUGACAGCCCCGUACACAAAAGCGCAUGUGCUGUGAGCUCGAUGAGUAGGGCGGGACACGUGGUAUCCUGUCUGAAUAUGGGGGGACCAUCCUCCAAGGCUAAAUACUCCUGACUGACCGAUAGUGAACCAGUACCGUGAGGGAAAGGCGAAAAGAACCCCGGCGAGGGGAGUGAAAAAGAACCUGAAACCGUGUACGUACAAGCAGUGGGAGCACAGGUUUACCUGUGUGACUGCGUACCUUUUGUAUAAUGGGUCAGCGACUUAUAUUCUGUAGCAAGGUUAACCGAAUAGGGGAGCCGGAGGGAAACCGAGUCUUAACCGGGCGUUAAGUUGCAGGGUAUAGACCCGAAACCCGGUGAUCUAGCCAUGGGCAGGUUGAAGGUUGGGUAACACUAACUGGAGGACCGAACCGACUAAUGUUGAAAAAUUAGCGGAUGACCUGUGGCUGGGGGUGAAAGGCCAAUCAAACCGGGAGAUAGCUGGUUCUCCCCGAAAGCUAUUUAGGUAGCGCCUCGUGAACUCAUCUCCGGGGGUAGAGCACUGUUUCGGCUAGGGGGCCAUCCCGGCUUACCAACCCGAUGCAAACUGCGAAUACCGGAGAAUGUUAUCACGGGAGACACACGGCGGGUGCUAACGUCCGUCGUGAAGAGGGAAACAACCCAGACCGCCAGCUAAGGUCCCAAAGUCAUGGUUAAGUGGGAAACGAUGUGGGAAGGCCCAGACAGCCAGGAUGUUGGCUUAGAAGCAGCCAUCAUUUAAAGAAAGCGUAAUAGCUCACUGGUCGAGUCGGCCUGCGCGGAAGAUGUAACGGGGCUAAACCAUGCACCGAAGCUGCGGCAGCGACACUGUGUGUUGUUGGGUAGGGGAGCGUUCUGUAAGCCUGUGAAGGUGUGUCGUGAGGCAUGCUGGAGGUAUCAGAAGUGCGAAUGCUGACAUAAGUAACGAUAAAGCGGGUGAAAAGCCCGCUCGCCGGAAGACCAAGGGUUCCUGUCCAACGUUAAUCGGGGCAGGGUGAGUCGACCCCUAAGGCGAGGCCGAAAGGCGUAGUCGAUGGGAAACGGGUUAAUAUUCCCGUACUUGGUGUUACUGCGAAGGGGGGACGGAGAAGGCUAUGUUGGCCGGGCGACGGUUGUCCCGGUUUAAGCGUGUAGGUGUGUGUUCCAGGUAAAUCCGGUUCACUUUAACACUGAGGCGUGAUGACGAGGCACUACGGUGCUGAAGCAACAAAUGCCCUGCUUCCAGGAAAAGCCUCUAAGCAUCAGGUAACAUCAAAUCGUACCCCAAACCGACACAGGUGGUCAGGUAGAGAAUACCAAGGCGCUUGAGAGAACUCGGGUGAAGGAACUAGGCAAAAUGGUGCCGUAACUUCGGGAGAAGGCACGCUGACACGUAGGUGAAGUGAUUUACUCAUGGAGCUGAA